AAUUUUGGUUGUUUCAGGUCUCCUUUUUUGCUUGCAUUACUCCUGUCCUUAUUACAUGGAUAUAUUCAGAGAUUCUGGAGUAUAAUGGAUCUUCAUCUCCUCCCAAAGUGUGUUGUUUCUUACUAUCUUGUGGUGGAUGAUAGUGUCCAUGGCCGAUAGAAGAUCAUGAGCUCAAGGUGAAGGACUCCAAGACGCUUCUCUUUGGUGAGAAACCAGUUAUUAUCUUCAGUCCAUGUGCAGUAAGCUUUUGGAUCAAAGCGAAGCUGAGAAUAGGGUGUUAGUUGAUGAAAAAUUGAUAACCAGUAGAGGCACAUCCAUGGAGUUUUCGCUUGUGAUUGUCGAGAA